UCCCAUUUCAUAAGUCAAACGCAACUUUCUCUCCCUUCGUUUUUCUCUCCCUCUGUUCUCCCUCUCAAAUUCCUUCUACAGAUCUUAAGAUUUCAUAAAAUUUCAUCACCAAAAGCCUAAACACAAAAUUACAUAUGAAAUAGAAAUCUUAAAGAGCAGAAACUCACUAUUUAUUAAAGGAAUUAGGGGUUUUAAAAUGUAGCUCCGUAGAAGAAAAGAGAAGCUCCGGUGUGAGUGAAGAAGGCGAACGAUCCUAAAAACCGAAACGCCCAGCAAGCGUGUUCUUCGUUUUCAUGGAGAAGGUGGUGGCGGCUGAUUUUGAUUGAUCGCCACUAGGGUUUAGAAUUGUUGAUUGGCUUGCUGCAAGCUUCAAUAAAGACCGAUGAGAUUUAUCUACUAGAAGGCUAAGAUGGAGCUUUCAACUUUGAAAGAAGCUAAUAUUAGGUACACAGAUCAAUUGGGAAUUCAUGAUUGCUAUAUCACAAAUCCGAAGUCUUCAUCUUUGCUAAAAUGGAAGUGAUAGAUACUUUGUAUGCUAUACUUUGGGCUGGGGAUUAUAGGGGGCUUGCAUUUGUUAGUUGUUGAUGGCAGAGAGAUAAUGAUUUCGUUCGGCUAAAUACGAGUCUAAUGCUGAAAGAAUAUGGUCAUGCUAUCAAUUUCUUGUCACAAUGAAAGGCUACUGGAGACGGUAGAAAAGUUGAAGGGGAGAUCAAGGAGCAGAAAUCCUAGACCAAGCGAAGCAUGUCGAGUGUGAUUUUUAUACUGAAGCUGAAGACAAUUAUAUUGCGAUGGAGGCAUUAUCCGAGGUUACAUAAGCACUUCCGUAAUUCCUAUUGUUUUCAGUUUUUUUUUUUACAAAUAAUGAAAAGUAAACAACUUAAGCAUAACCUUUUGUACUAGAUUUAAUAUAUUUAGUUUAGAGUAAAUUACAAUUUUGGUCCAUGUGGUUAUAUCACUUUUACCCUUUUAGCUCAAAAAGGAAUCUUUUAACAACUGAGCCCCAACGUCUUUUUUCUAACCCUUUUGGCCCCUAACACUAACCCCAUCCAUUUACUUUUAGGAGCCAAAAGAGUUAGAAAAAAAAGAUGUUGGGGCCAAAAGGGUUAGAAAAAAAGACGUUGGGGGCUUAGAUGUUAAAAGAUUUCUUCUGGCUAAAAGGGUAAAAGUGAUAUAACCAUAGGGGCCAAAAUCGUAAUUUACUCUUUAGUUUAUGUUGGGUUAUAAUGUGCUUGCAGAAGGUGCAAGGAAUACCACCUGGUUGGUUUAUUUUGCUAUUAAUUAAGUUUUUCUUGGAUCUUGAUGAUCUUAAAAGGGGGGAGGAAUGAGAAAAAUUAAAGAAAAUGCCAGUUUAUUUCAGUUUUCAUAUUUGAACUUUUGGUUUUAAUUUUAAGGGCUUUGACCAUGAUCAAUAAAAUAAAAGAGUUUGGUCAGAAAAAUUAUUAAGCUUAUUUUAAAUAGUUUAUUCUUUAGUACUCAGUUAUUUUAAAUAGGAGCAUAUUUCCAUCUUGAGUACGUGAAUGGGUUAACCUGUGAUUUCGUUAAAUAAUUAUGUAUUAAGUUUUGAUGGCAUGAUCGACAUUUUUAAGUGUUACCAUGUGACUGAAAUCUCAGUCAUUUAUAUUCAUUUAUAUUGGGUACUUUUUAAUUUAUGUCAAAGAAGGGAAGAAGAGAUGACAAUCAAUUCUGUACAUUGAUAAGGCUACAAAAUUAAUUCUGCUAUGUCAAGGAUUCAUUUUAUUGUUGUCCGGAUGGGCAUCGGUGGGCAAAACAAACUUCAAAUAACAUUUCACUAUAAAACCCAAGGUGAAUCCACAAGAACAAGUAAUAAAACUUCAUUUAUAUAUUUGCCUUUAUAGUUAAAAUAAAAUAUGUUGCAUUUUAGGUUUGUUUUAAAUAGUAAAGUUGCUUGUUCUUGGUUUCGGUUGAGCUGAGUUGGCUUCGAUUUUUACCGAGCUAUGCUUUGCUUAGCAAUUUAGCUUGAUUUUCAAUUCGAACCUCUCUAAGACAGAUUGGUUUGGAUUUGAAUCAAGCUUGAGUUGGCCGUACGUGGCUCAACUCGGCUUGUUAGCAACCCCAGGUCUAUAUUUAGAUGUUGCUUAUCUCAAUUGAUUAUUUGAUUCUAAUGUCACAUAGUUGAUGUAGUAAACAUGUGUAAACUAUAGCACAACUACCCGUAUAAAAAGAGAGGCCCAUGGAAUUCCAUUUUAUUUUUUAACUCGUUGACUUGAGGGUCAUCAAGUUAAAAUUUUGUUCCACUGGCUGAAGUGUCGUCAAGUUAAAAGUUAAUUUUUUAGCCCAUUGGCUAACCAAAAAUUAAGUUGUGAGUUGGCUUAACCUGAGAGUAAUCGAAAAGUCAGUUGCGAGUUGACUCGAGUUGGCUUAACCCAAGAGUAACCGAAAUUCAGUUGCGAGUCGACUCAACCUCCUACUA
rnacentral:lncRNA from 1 species